rnacentral:rRNA from 1 species
CAGCCGCCACGGUAAUACAGAGGGUGCGAGCGUUAAUCGGAUUUACUGGGCGUAAAGCGUGCGUAGGCGGCUUUUUAAGUCGGAUGUGAAAUCCCUGAGCUUAACUUAGGAAUUGCAUUCGAUACUGGGAAGCUAGAGUAUGGCAGAGGGGGGUAGAAUUCCACGUGUAGCAGUGAAAUGCGUAGAGAUGUGGAGGAAUACCGAUGGCGAAGGCAGCCCCCUGGGCCAAUACUGACGCUCAUGCACGAAAGCGUGGGGAGCAAACAGGAUUAGAUACCCGAGUAGUCCCUGUCUCUUAUAC